GGCGUGCUUAACACAUGCAAGUCGAACGGUGAUCUCGGUGCUUGCACCGGGUGAUCAGUGGCGAACGGGUGAGUAACACGUGAGUAACCUGCCCCAGACUCUGGGAUAACUCCGAGAAAUCGGUGCUAAUACCGGAUACGAGACGCACAGGCAUCUGCAGCGUCUGGAAAGAAUUUCGGUCUGGGAUGGACUCGCGGCCUAUCAGCUAGUUGGUGAGGUAACGGCCCACCAAGGCGACGACGGGUAGCCGGCCUGAGAGGGCGACCGGCCACACUGGGACUGAGACACGGCCCAGACUCCUACGGGAGGCAGCAGUGGGGAAUAUUGCACAAUGGGCGCAAGCCUGAUGCAGCGACGCCGCGUGGGGGAUGAAGGCCUUCGGGUUGUAAACCCCUUUCAGCAGGGAAGAAGCGAAAGUGACGGUACCUGCAGAAGAAGCGCCGGCUAACUACGUGCCAGCAGCCGCGGUAAUACGUAGGGCGCAAGCGUUGUCCGGAAUUAUUGGGCGUAAAGAGCUCGUAGGCGGUUUGUCGCGUCUGCUGUGAAAACCCGAGGCUCAACCUCGGGCCUGCAGUGGGUACGGGCAGACUAGAGUGCGGUAGGGGGAGACUGGAAUUCCUGGUGUAGCGGUGGAAUGCGCAGAUAUCAGGAGGAACACCGAUGGCGAANGCAAGGUCUNU
rnacentral:rRNA from 1 species